rnacentral:lncRNA from 1 species
GAAGGGCUGGUUAUGAGUAAUGUGAUACAAUUUUAUGAGAUGAUGAGAUUACAAUAACAAUACCUCCUCUCAUAGAAUAGCCAGCAAGUCUCCACUAAAUAACAGUGCCUUGAUUUUAUAGAUGUUUCAUCAUGGAUAUUGAGUUAAUGUGAACCAUUUGUAGACACAGGAGUUUAUUAAAGACUUAUAUAAUAUCUUUCAAGUAUUUAGAAUAGUGUUGAAAUUAAGCCUGCAUCCCCACGAUUUUCAGCGGUGCUGAUGCCUAAUAAACUCAACCCCUUGCAUGCCAAAAUUGGCUUAAAGCCCAUCUGUUACCCAAGCUACACUUCAAGCAUCGAGGUUCAAAAAUGUGAUUUUGAAUAUGCAAGAGUUUGAGGAAUUCACUACUCACACUUUCUUGAACAGUCUAUCCAAGUGCAUCAAGCAAAAUGUGAGUAAAGAAAUUUUGAGCAAAGGAUUGAUAGUAAUGUUGAAUACAUUUAAUAGUAGAUCAAAGAUUAAAAGGUGAAAGUGAGGGUGAGAAGAGUGUAUGAAUGCUUUGUGUUCUGACAAAGAGAAUGUAGCACCCAGGUCCUACCUGCUUGGAUGCAUUGCCAGUGCCCACGGUAGGCCAUUUUAUCCAGGUUUUUAGGUAUUGUCUUAUUUUGUUUGUUUUUUUUCUUUUCAGGAGUCUUAGUCCAAGACCAAUAACUCCGUAACUGGUAGAUUUGGAAGACUUUAAUAGUGCUUAACAUUUUGUACAUAGCUUUAUAACAGUUUUCUUUUUCUUUUUUUCUGAGAGAUUCUUUUCAAUAUACCCCAUCAUGGUUGAACUCAAAAAUCAUUGCUUAUUUAAAAUCUACAACUGCUGACGUUUUGUAACGUUCGCAUUCCAGAUACAACAGAGAAAUGCAUAAUGUCCAGUCAAUUUAUUAAAGUUCCAAAGUCGGUCGCGCGCAGUGGCUCACGCCUGUAAUCUCAACACUUCGGGAGGCCGAGGCGUGUGGAUCACGAGUAUGUUUCCAGUCUCAAUAGAAAUCGAUGCCAAUCCAGAAAUACAAGCAUUAUUCUAAUACUUCUCACACAUUACUGCAGGAGUGAGGACACAGCGAAAGUGAGACAAGGAAAAGAGAACAAAAUAAAACAGGAAAGACAGAAAAGCCAAUACCACACGUGUUAAGAGUAACAAGCUCCCGUGCUGCUAGAGAAAGUCCUCAGCUAGAAACUGGUGCAAAUUCUGGAGAUGAGACCUUGUAGAGUGUUAAGAAUGGUUUUCUUCCCAGCAGCUACAGCUAAGGAAUAGGGGCUGGGCUAUGAAUACAUCUGCUACAAACCAAUAAAGCCCUUAUGCUCCUUUUGGUGAUCGACAAUGUAUUUAAAAAUAUUAGAUGAUCAAGAAGGGCUGCAGAAAGGAGGAAACAGAAACAAACAGCACACCUCUUGGUUUAUUUUUUUUCAUUUCAUCAGUUUCAAGGAAAAUAUGUUGGGAGUUCCUGGCAUAGAGAAUGUCACAAAGACAUGUUUUCAAUAGUAGUGCUAUCCCGAGGGCAGAGAAGACCCAGAGAAAGCCCAAGUGGCUGCUGGAACAAAAUCAGACACCGUGCCACCUGUCCACACUCCUUGGCUCUGCCAUCAUGCUGAAGAUCGCUUUAAAGGACUGGCUUCCCUCCCCCCAAAAUUAAAAGAGCACAGACUGAGAAACUGAAUGUGGGAGACAGCAGUGGAUUAUGCUGUUCUCAGGGGUCACCUCAGGUUUGGAAGCAUUCUUUCAAAUUAACCCAUCUCAGGCCAUCUGCAGAGAAGAAAGGUGGUACCUAACUUUUUUUCUUGUCGGCAUUUGGUAGGGGUGUUUUAUUGACCAAAUAUGUUCCCACAACCUCGUUUUUUGUGACUAACUAAAUAUAGUAGAGUUUUAAAUUUUAUCAUCAAAAUCUAUAGACAAUUUUUGAUGAAAAUAGACUCCAUCUCUAUGUCCUGCUUUUCUUCUUCUUAUUAAUUACAUUGCUGUAUAAAAGAACAAGACUUCAGCAUCAAGAAUAUCUUGUCUCUUGGCAUUGAAUUUAUACAAGGUGCUCUUUCUUUAAUGCUGUCUCAAAGGACAUAUUUUUACUCAUUAAAAAGGAAGAUCGGAAUCUAGUUGUAUGCACUGCUCCAACAUAUUAAUAAUUAAAAUUAGGAGGUAAAUGUGGUCAAAGCUAUAGAAAGACGGAGAUGUCAUUUAUAUGGAUUACUCUAUAGCACUCUACAAACAGAAAUUGUUAAAUAAUAGUUUAUAUAAAUAUUUUGUAGCAUUUCAAAUAUUUGAGUGCUUGAAGUUUCUCCUCUUCUAUAGUUCAGAUUAUCAAUUUGAAGACUUACUCCGCUAGUUAAUAUGUUUUUAGUCUCGUUUGAGUAUUAUAUAAAAGCAAUUUUCAGUUAAAUGUGUUCCGCUUACAUAAAACGUUACAAAUUAUUGAGGAUUUAAUUACUUAUUCAUGUUCCUGUAAUGUCUUUAGAAGAUUUUCUUAUUAUUACCUAUCAAUAUAUGUAUGCUUUGUCAAAGAAAAAUCAAACAUAUAUAUCAUUGAAAUUGAAACUUUUUAAAAGUACUUAUUAAUUCUAUUGAAAAACCACAUCCAUAGGAACAAUUACAAUAUAAUAUUGUGAACAUGUAAACAUAUACCCUAUGUCUAUUUUAUGUAUAAGCAUGUAUGAUUAAAAAUAUAGUGAAGAAUUUUUAAACCUAGUAUUAUAAAGUAAAAAUUAGUUAACUUCCGAUGAUUAUUUGUUAAUUAAGAUAAAAUUAUUUUGAUUUGGGUGAUUUUAAAUAAAGAAAAAUAUUAAAUUACAUGACAAAAAUUCUUUAUAAAAUGUUUAUGAUUUUUACAUUGGUUUUAUCACUUUUCCCACUAUUUUAUUUUAAGAUGACCUGCCUUGUUUAAAACACUGUAUUCAUCUUAGUUAAAUUAGAUUCCAUUUGUAAAAUAAUUAACAAAUGAUUUGCUCUAUUGUACAGUGCGGUUAUAAACUGAGUCAGUAUCUCAAGAUUUGAUCCCCAUUAUCAUCAUCUGUGGCC